AUUGAACGCUGGCGGCAGGCCUAACACAUGCAAGUCGAGCGGAUGAAGGGAGCUUGCUCCUGGAUUCAGCGGCGGACGGGUGAGUAAUGCCUAGGAAUCUGCCUGGUAGUGGGGGAUAACGUCCGGAAACGGGCGCUAAUACCGCAUACGUCCUGAGGGAGAAAGUGGGGGAUCUUCGGACCUCACGCUAUCAGAUGAGCCUAGGUCGGAUUAGCUAGUUGGUGGGGUAAAGGCCUACCAAGGCGACGAUCCGUAACUGGUCUGAGAGGAUGAUCAGUCACCCGGGAAGUGAGACACGGUCAAGACUACUAAGGGAGGCAGCAGUGGGGAAUGUUGGACAAUGGGCGAAAGCCUGGUACAGCCAUGCCGAGUGUGUGAAGAAGGUCUUCGGAUUGUAAAGCACUUUAAGUUGGGAGGAAGGGCAGUAAGUUAAGACGUUGCUGUUUUGACGGUACCAACAGAAGAAGCACCGGCUAACUUCGUG
rnacentral:rRNA from 1 species